GAAAAAUGAUGAAAGAAAGAAAUAGGGUUAGUUGAAUAUUGAGGGAUAAAAAAAGGAAAGAGAACAGUAAGAAACGCAGAGAGGAGAAAGAUUAGAGUUGUUUAUGCUAGAGGUUCAUCCCAACCUAAGAUCAGUUUCCCAUCUCAUUCUUUCCAGAUAAACCCUAAUUCUUAUUUAUUUUCAAUUUCAAACUUUUUAUCUAUUGUAAUUAUCCAAUUGCUUUAUUUUUUCACCCUUUCCUUCUUCACUUGUCAAUCUCUUCUUCACUUUCAAAAUACAAAAAAAAAAAAGGAGCAAAACAAAAAACUUAGAAACCCUAAUCAUCAAUGGUUACUACAGCGAAAUCUCCCAAUCAUCACUCCUCGUCUACUGCUUCCCGACCUGCCGAUGCCAACAGUCCCAAGUUCCCGCGAAAAAAUCUUCCCUCGCCCUGGGCUCAAGUGGUUCGCGGCGGAGAAUUGGAAUCCGUGCCUGGCAUUAACCAAUCGCCUCCAUCAGUGCCUGGCAUUAACCAAUCGCCUCCAUCAACGUCAUCCUCUACCUCAUCACUGAUUACGGACCAGGCCCCCUCGUCUGAUUGUUCUCCCAAGGUCAUUCCAUCCUCGUCGCCGGCAAUGGACAAUUCUAACACGGUUGGUGUUGCCGAUAGCUCGGAUGACGCCGAGGACAAUGCCGAUCGUUCUAAAAAACCCGUUUGGAAUAAACCCUCAAAUGGUGUGGUCGUCGAAACUGGGCCGGUAAUGGGUGCUGAAUCGUGGCCCUCGUUGUCUGCCUCCACCAAAGGUUCUGUCAAAUUGCCAGCUGAAUCGUCCUCCAAGACCGUUGCUGAUGGAUCACUCUCAACUUCUCAGGUUUGGUUCAAAUACAUUCUCUAAUUCUCUGCUUACUUCUGUUUUUCUUUAUUUUUAAUUCUGUUUUGUUUGUUCAAAUGUCUUGCUUUGUAAUUCUGUUUCCUUUUUCUUUUAUAUGAAAAUAUAGCAAGAAUAAUACCCAACUAUAGAAUACUUCUAUGUAUAAUGCUUCCAAUCUACAUGAAUCUAUGACGACAAAACCCUAUAUAUUGUUUUUCAUGUAUCAAAAAGAGUAUGUGUGUCUU
rnacentral:lncRNA from 1 species